GACGAACCGUGCAAACGUUAUUCGGAAUCACUGGGCUUAAAGCGCGUGUAGGCGGCUCGACACGUCCGUCGUUGAAAUCCCCUGGCUCAACCAGGGAACCGGCGCGGAUACGAUCGGGCUAGAGGCCGGUAGGGGGAGUCGGAACUUCCGGUGGAGCGGUGAAAUGCGUUGAGAUCGGAAGGAACGCCCGUGGCGAAAGCGGACUCCUGGACCGGACCUGACGCUGAGACGCGAAAGCCAGGGGAGCAAACGGG
rnacentral:rRNA from 1 species